rnacentral:rRNA from 1 species
GAAUUCACUAGUGAUUCAGGCCUAACACAUGCAAGUCGAGCGGUAACACAGGGAGCUUGCUCCUGGGUGACGAGCGGCGGACGGGUGAGUAAUGUCUGGGAAACUGCCUGAUGGAGGGGGAUAACUACUGGAAACGGUAGCUAAUACCGCAUAACGUCGCAAGACCAAAGAGGGGGACCUUCGGGCCUCUUGCCAUCAGAUGUGCCCAGAUGGGAUUAGCUAGUAGGUGGGGUAAUGGCUCACCUAGGCGACGAUCCUUAGCUGGUCUGAGAGGAUGACCAGCCACACUGGAACUGAGACACGGUCCAGACUCCUACGGGAGGCAGCAGUGGGGAAUAUUGCACAAUGGGCGCAAGCCUGAUGCAGCCAUGCCGCGUGUAUGAAGAAGGCCUUCGGGUUGUAAAGUAAAGGGAGCGAGGAGGAAGGCAUUAAGGUUAAUAACCUUGGUGAUUGACGUACUCGCAGAAGA